GCGAGAGCAGUGCCCGGCGAGACGCUCGGAGAGGACGCGCGCUAGCGCCGGCGAUGGGCCCCGCGGCGCGGCUGGCGGCGCUGUUGGCGGUGCUGGCGCUCCGGGCAGGGGACCCGGCCGAGGUCGCGGCGCGCGGGGACACAUUCUCGGCGCUGACCAGUGUGGCGCGCGCCCUGGCGCCCGAGCGCCGGCUGCUGGGACUGCUGCGGAGCUACCUGCGCGGGGAGGAGGCGCGGCUGCGGGACCUGACCAGAUUCUAUCACAAGGUGCUAUCUUUACAUGAAGAUUCAGCAACCCCUGUGUCUAACCCUCUGCUUGCAUUUACUCUCAUCAAACGCCUACAGUCUGACUGGAAGAAUGUGGUACAUAGUCUGGAGGCCAGUGAGAACAUCCGAGCUCUCAAGGAUGGUUAUGAGAGGGUGGAGCAGGACCUGCCAGCCUUUGAGGACCUCGAGGGAGCAGCAAGGGCCCUGAUGCGGCUGCAGGAUGUGUACAUGCUCAAUGUGAAGGGACUUGCCCGAGGCGUCUUCCAGAGAGUCACAGGCUCUGCUGUCACUGACUUGUACAGUCCCAGGCGGCUUUUCUCCCUCACCGGGGAUGACUGCUUCCAAGUUGGCAAGGUGGCCUAUGACAUGGGGGAUUACUACCAUGCCAUUCCAUGGCUGGAGGAGGCCGUCAGUCUCUUCCGAGGCUCUUAUGGAGAAUGGAAGACAGAGGAUGAGGCAAGUCUUGAGGAUGCCUUGGAUCACCUGGCCUUCGCUUAUUUCCAGGCAGGAAAUGUUUUGUGUGCCCUCAACCUUUCCCGGGAGUUUCUUCUGUACAGCCCAGAUAAUAAAAGGGUGGCCAGAAAUGUCUUGAAGUAUGAAAAGCUCUUGGCAGAGAGCCCUAACCAGGCUGUAGCAGAGACUGUCAUGCAGAGACCCAAUGUGCCCCACCUGCAGACCAGGGACACCUACGAGGGAUUAUGUCAGACCCUGGGUUCCCAGCCUACUCACUACCAGAUUCCCAGCCUCUACUGCUCCUAUGAGACCAGUUCCAGUCCCUACCUGCUGCUCCAGCCUGUGCGGAAGGAGGUCAUCCACCUGGAGCCCUAUGUUGUUCUCUACCAUGACUUUGUCAGUGACGCCGAGGCUCAGACGAUCAGAGAGCUUGCAGAACCAUGGUUACAGAGAUCCGUGGUGGCGUCAGGUGAAAAGCAGGUACCAGUGGAGUACCGCAUCAGCAAGAGUGCCUGGCUGAAGGACACUGUUGACCCAGUGCUGGCGACCCUUGACCAUCGCAUUGCUGCCCUCACGGGCCUUGAUGUCCAGCCUCCCUACGCAGAGUAUCUCCAGGUGGUGAACUAUGGAAUUGGAGGGCACUAUGAGCCUCACUUUGACCAUGCUACGUCACCAAGCAGCCCACUGUACAGAAUGAACUCUGGGAACCGGGUCGCAACAUUUAUGAUCUAUUUGAGCUCGGUGGAAGCCGGAGGAGCCACAGCCUUCAUCUACGGCAACUUCAGCGUUCCUGUGGUCAAGAAUGCAGCACUCUUUUGGUGGAACCUGCAUAGGAGUGGUGAAGGGGAUGGUGAUACACUUCAUGCUGCCUGCCCUGUCCUGGUAGGAGAUAAAUGGGUGGCCAACAAGUGGAUACAUGAGUAUGGACAGGAAUUCCGCAGACCCUGCAGCUCGAGACCUGAAGACUAAAGUGUUGGCAGAGAGAAGCUGGAGGAGUCCUUUGGGUUUCCAAAGAAGCCAGAAGUCAAAAACUAGGAUCUCUGGAACCAUCCCCGGUAAUUUUGCUGCAGAGUGCCGCUGGUGAGACAACUCCAUGUGAACAGCUUCCCCUGAACCCGAAAGGGCAGAUUUCUGGCAAGUUCUGCCAACAAAGCAUCAAAGUGACUUCUACACCUUCAGUAAGCCAUCGUUAGUGCCCUCUCCAACAAGGGGAUCUCAAUCGUUUCCACUCAGGUGCUGUCUCAGUCUGAGGGGAAAUAGGAAGUGGCUGCUUCUUACAUCUGCUAUUUCUAGUCUUUCCUUCUCUUUUUCAAACCUGUUCCCAGCUUUACAGAGAUGUAACUGAUAGAUAAAAUUAUAAUAUAUUUAAAAAGUGUACAAUGUGAUGAUUUGACAUGUAUACACUGGGACACUGAUUCCCAUAAUCAACUUAAUUAACCCUAUAUUCUUUAGAGCUCUUAUGUUUUACUAGCCAAUUCCUCAUUACUCCAAUCCCCUGUUAUAAUUAAUAAAUCUUUAUAUUAAGCUU